rnacentral:rRNA from 1 species
GGGGAAUAUUGCACAAUGGGCGAAAGCCUGAUGCAGCAACGCCGCGUGAGUAAUGAAGGUCUUCGGAUUGUAAAGCUCUGUCUUUUGGGACGAUAAUGACGGUACCAAAGGAGGAAGCCACGGCUAACUACGUGCCAGCAGCCGCGGUAAUACGUAGGUGGCGAGCGUUGUCCGGAUUUACUGGGCGUAAAGGGUGCGUAGGCGGAUGUUUAAGUGAGAUGUGAAAUACCCGGGCUUAACUUGGGUGCUGCAUUUCAAACUGGAUAUCUAGAGUGCAGGAGAGGAGAAUGGAAUUCCUAGUGUAGCGGUGAAAUGCGUAGAGAUUAGGAAGAACACCAGUGGCGAAGGCGAUUCUCUGGACUGUAACUGACGCUGAGGCACGAAAGCGUGGGUAGCAAACAGGAUUAGAUACCCUGGUAGUCCACGCCGUAAACGGUGAGUACUAGGUGUAGGAGGUAUCGACCCCUUCUGUGCCGCAGUAAACACAUUAAGUACUCCGCCUGGGAAGUACGAUCGCAAGAUUAAAACUCU